rnacentral:rRNA from 1 species
CUGCAGUAGGGAAUCUUCGGCAAUGGACGAAAGUCUGACCGAGCAACGCCGCGUGAGUGAAGAAGGUUUUCGGAUCGUAAAACUCUGUUGUUAGAGAAGAACAAGGAUGAGAGUAGAACGUUCAUCCCUUGACGGUAUCUAACCAGAAAGCCACGGCUAACUACGUGCCAGCAGCCGCGGUAAUACGUAGGUGGCAAGCGUUGUCCGGAUUUAUUGGGCGUAAAGCGAGCGCAGGCGGUUUCUUAAGUCUGAUGUGAAAGCCCCCGGCUCAACCGGGGAGGGUCAUUGGAAACUGGGAGACUUGAGUGCAGAAGAGGAGAGUGGAAUUCCAUGUGUAGCGGUGAAAUGCGUAGAUAUAUGGAGGAACACCAGUGGCGAAGGCGGCUCUCUGGUCUGUAACUGACGCUGAGGCUCGAAAGCGUGGGGAGCGAACAGGAUUAGAUACCCUGGUAGUCCACGCCGUAAACGAUGAGUGCUAAGUGUUGGAGGGUUUCCGCCCU